rnacentral:rRNA from 1 species
UACAGAGGUCUCAAGCGUUGUUCGGAUUCAUUGGGCGUAAAGGGUGCGUAGGUGGCGCGCUAAGUCAGGUGUGAAAUUUCGGAGCUUAACUCCGAAACUGCAUUUGAUACUGGCGUGCUUGAGGACUGGAGAGGAGACUGGAAUUCACGGUGUAGCAGUGAAAUGCGUAGAGAUCGUGAGGAAGACCAGUGGCGAAGGCGGGUCUCUGGACAGUUCCUGACACUGAGGCACGAAGGCCAGGGGAGCAAACCGGG